GAUGAACGCUAGCUACAGGCUUAACACAUGCAAGUCGAGGGGAAACGGCAUCGAAAGCUUGCUUUUGAUGGGCGUCGACCGGCGCACGGGUGAGUAACGCGUAUCCAACCUGCCCAUCACUUGGGAAUAACCUUGCGAAAGUAAGACUAAUGCCCAAUGACAUCCCACGAAGGCAUCCGAAUGGGAUUAAAGAUUUAUCGGUGAUGGAUGGGGAUGCGUCUGAUUAGCUUGUUGGCGGGGUGACGGCCCACCAAGGCAACGAUCAGUAGGGGUUCUGAGAGGAAGGUCCCCCACAUUGGAACUGAGACACGGUCCAAACUCCUACGGGAGGCAGCAGUGAGGAAUAUGGGUCAAUGGGCGAGAGCCUGAACCAGCCAAGUAGCGUGCAGGAUGACGGCCCUAUGGGUUGUAAACUGCUUUUAGAAGGGAAUAAAGUGGGUCACGUGUGACUUUUUGCAUGUACCUUAUGAAUAAGGACCGGCUAAUUCCGUG
rnacentral:rRNA from 1 species